CUUUGACUUGUAACAAAAUUUUGUGUGUAUUUGUACGAGUGACAAAUUUCGUACUCUUGUUUUACACUGUUUCGAAGAUCAGACUUGUUCAUUUGAAUGUCAAAUAUUUUUAAUAUUUUCUUUCUUCAUUUAAAGUUGUUCAUGGGUAUUUCUUAAAAUUUCUGAUUUUUUGUAACCUUGCCUUCUUGAUGCAUAUUAUAAAAACUAGUUUAAGGUACUUGCUUCCUUUUGUCUUUCUCGUCUUUCUCUCUUAAGCAUAUUCAGGGAGCUUUCAGAUAUAAUUUUAUAUUUGUGUUUGAAGAGUUUCCUUAUGGUUCCAUUUCUAGGUCAUGUCCUCUUUGAUAUGAAUAAAUGUUAUAUAUACAUCAAUGGCUUUUUUUUCCUAGGGAUCAGGCAUCUUAUCUGUUGUAUUGUGGGUAAGAGUUCAACAGAACUCCAUUGGUUUGGAAUAUGUUUUAUUUAUCAUAAAGAGUAAGUUUUGUCCAGCAGAUGAUAACAACUUUUCUCUGAUAUUAUUUUGUUUUACAGGGACAUGAUUACUGCUUCUAAUGAUAUGCUGACCUCAAUCUUCACCAACCUCUCCCAGGCCAUGUGAACCAUCAGGCGAGGCCUGCACUAGCUCUCAUUACCAUCAACUGCAGCAUAAUCCAACAUCAAUUCUGUCCAUGUUCCUCCUUAACCUGACCCAACAACAACUAUACCCUCAUGGAUACCUGAGCUUAGUUGCAUUAUGGUGACAGGGACCAGACUGGAUCAAGAGAUCAAGUUACUCAAGUUUUUUCAGAUGACCAACCAUGAGGAUGUGAAAAGCCCAGGGGGCUGCAGUGAUCAUACUCACUUGGGUGAAUCCUGCCUAGAUAUGGGCGUGAACAUGUAAGUCUUUGUACAACAACAACACAACAAGCCGUGAUGUUCCAGCUAAUUGUGGUGUUGCAGUAUUUGUGCCUUAUUCAAUUUGGGUGUUCUUGAGAUUUUUUGGAAGAGUGAUUAUUUGCAUUGUUAUGGUAUUUUAGGGUACCUAAAACAUCGGGUGUGUGAUGAUGCCAUGGCAAAGCUCGAUGAACUGCAACAGAUAUCAUUUUUCUUGAGCUUUGGACAAGGUUCUAAAUAUCAAUUUGAUACUAAUUUUUCGAGAUUUUCUUGGAAGACCGGUUAUUUUACAUCAUCAUGGCAAUUUGGAGUGCCUAAAACAUUUGGUAUGUACUGAUACCAUGGCAGAGUUUGAUGAGCUGCAACAGAUAUCAUAGUUCUUGAAUUCUUGGAUGAGGUUUUAAAUAUCAGCAUGGUAUUGGUUUCUUACAAUUUUUGGAAGACUAGUUAUUUUCAUUGUUAUGACAUUUUGGGGUGCCUAAAACAUCUUGCAUGUGCUGAUACCAUGGAAAAGUUUGAUGAAUUACAGCAGCUAUUAUAUUUCUUGAACUCUUGAACGAGUAUUUAAAUGUUGGUUCGAUGUCGGGUUCUUAAGAUGUUAGUUUGACAUUUUGGGGUGCCUAGGACAUCUUGAAUGUGAUUAUAUCAUGGCAAAGUUUGAUGAACUACGACAACCAUUGUCUUGAAAUAUUCAACAGGAUUUUAAACAUCAACCUGAUACCGAUUUCUCGAUAAUUUUUGGAAGACUAGUUAUUUGCAAUGCUAUGUCAUUUUGGAGUGAUUAAAACAUCUGGUAUGUACUGUUACCGUAGCAAAUCUUGAUGGACUGCAACAGCUCUCAUAUUUUUUGUACUUGUAGACAAGGUUUUGAAGAUCCUAUCAUAUUGAUUUUUUUGCUAGACUAGUUGUUUACUUUGUUAUGGUACUUUGGAGUGCCUAAAACAUCGAUGGUAAAGCUUGAUGAACUGCAACAGUUUUGACAAUUUUACUUGAACACUCUGGACAAUAUUUUGAACCUCGAUCCGACAUCGGUUUCAAUGAUUAUAUGAAACUACAUAUUAGUAAGUACCAGUUCUAAAUCUUUCUAAUUUGACAUCUUUGGCUCUUCACAGGUAAAACAGGAAGGCAAUCAGUUGCUGGAAUCCUUUCAGAACUUCAAGGUCACAUCAUCAGGACACUCUCCACAUUAUUGAGAUCAGCACCAGAACAAAGGCUGGGUCCAAUCCAAUGUAUUUUUCACUCGACUUUCCUGACCUGGGACCAGCUUCUAUUGCUGCGUUGCGACCUUGUCGAGCCCACAGUUCAUGCAAUCAUCAGAUGCACUCAUUAAAGAGAUCAGUCAUGACAUUUAGACAGUGAGCUUCUUGUUUUGAUGUGAAUGGUAGAAGUCAAAUAUUCACUUGGGAAACUUCUUUAGAAUCGUCUCUGCACCUUUCAUUAGCUCUCUCAAAUGUCAUUUUCUUCUUUGUUUCUGUUUGUCGUCUUGAUACUGACUCAUCAAUGUACGCUCUUAUUGGGAUUAUUUACGGUCUAUUCUCA